UUCGUAGGGGGUUUUCUAAGUUUGAUGUGAAAUCCCGAGGCUUAACCUCGGAACUGCAUUGAAAACUGGAAGACUAGAGCAUUGGAGAGGAGAGCGGAAUUCCUGGAGUAGCGGUGGAAUGCGUAGAUAUCAGGAAGAACACCGAAAGCGAAGGCAGCUCUCUGGACAAUCGCUGACCCUGAGGAACGAAAGCGUGGGUAGCAAACAGGAUUAGAUACCCUGGUAGUCC
rnacentral:rRNA from 1 species